CAGCAAUCUAAAAUAGUAAGAAAAUAGCAUAAAACAUAUCAUUGCAAACCUUCAGCAAAAUUGUUAAAAGUCUUAUCUUGCCGAUCAAGAAAAAAACAAGGACACCUCUCCGGGAUCAGAAUCUUUAUUCAACAUUGUCCUGGAAGUUCUAACCAACACAAGGCAAGGAAAAAGGGAAGGCAGAAUGGAAAGAGACUGAAAAAGAAGAAACACAUUAUCAUUAUUGGCAGAUGGUAUAUAUAUAUAAAUAUAUAAAUAUUCAGAGUAAACUGCUUUAAUUAACAGGACAGUUUAGCAAGUUCUCUGAAUUUAAAAUAGAUAUAUGCAAAAAUCAGUCAUACUUACAUACAUCAGUUACAAAUGAUCCAAAUUUAAGAAUGGUAUCAUUGACAAUACAUUAAAUAGUAAUUACACCUAAAUUCAGCAAGAGCUUGUGAGAUUUCUAUGAGACAGUAACGUAAAUAUACACAGAGAAGUAGUAUACUGACUUACUUUAGAAAACAAAGAUGAUCUAAACAAGGGAGAAGAUACACUUUGUACCUAAGUCUAAAGACUCAAUAUUAUAAAAACAUUACUUCUUAAAUUUGCAAAUGCAAUGUUAUUCCAAUUAAAACUCCAAGUAUAUAGAACUUGACAGUUAGCUCCUGAAUAUAACAAAGGACAAAGAGAUCUUGGAGGACAGGAAGAGGUAACAAGACUAGCUCAACUAGAUGUCAAGACACCACUAUACAGUAUGGACAAAAAUGAAUGCCUGACUGUCUCAGAAAGGUCUAUGAAGCCUUUAGAAGAUGUUUACACAGAGUAUCCAUAUGAUUUCAAAUAAAGAAUAUUCUCUACUAAAAUACAUCAUCCACUUAACAAAAAAAAAGGACUGAUAAGUUGAAUACCCCCAAAUGGAAGAUUUCCAUCUAUCAAAAUCAGUUUUAAAUACUUCCAAAUGAGAAGCAAAGGAGCGGGAAGUUUAUCUGUGCAGCAUACGUAGCAUGAGUUAGUACCUAACCUAUUAAGAACUCAGAAAUCUGUGAUGAGAAGACAUUUCAAUAGGAAAGUCACUCACAAAAGAAACCAAAGUAGAUAAUAAACAUUACUUAGACAUGAAGGAAACACAGUCAAGAUGGCGAUGACAGGUCACUACCCACACAGGCAAGUCAGAUGAAACUGAGAUGCUAGACAGUGUCAGGCAUGGUGAGACUCCACAAGGAGAGCUCUCCCCCUGCUCAUGUGGUUCAUAUGAAAUGCACGUGUAUACUCCUCUGCACUUACAAGAAGAGCUGCAGUAGCUUUAUUCGUAAAUAUCACUGUAACGGAAACAACUGUUAGACUUAUGCACUACAUUCUUACAGUCAAAUUUCACACAGCCACACACAACACACAUUAAGUGGGUUGGCAAUAUUAAAACACAAAAGAAAAAGUAAGGUUUAUAUAAACAUUUAAAUAUACAAAAUUUAAAAAUUUAGAAAUUCAUUCAUGGGCACUUAGUAAAAUAUAUUUGAGAGCUAGUGAGAAGAUUCAGUAAGACUGUUUGCUGUACAAGCAUGAACACCUGAACUCUAAUCCUCAGCUCACACAUAAGUAUAUGCUCACAGCAUGCAUUUUUUUUCUUAUGAAAAUUUUCACCUCUUUUGAGCUAUCAGGUUCAUAAAUGGGUUUUAGUACAUGUAGGGGAAAUGAUCCAACUGGUAGAAAAGGAGAAAUACUUGAUUACAAUAAUAAUUGAAUUAGAGAAGGCUGGUCUAACUAGAAUUUUGAUGCUGCAUACAGAGGAGUCUGACCAUCACAUGAGUUUUCACUUAAGAGAUUAUCUUCUGAUAGGAAUUCUUUUCUAUGGGUCUUGUAUGUUUUCUUCUGAAGAAAGUUACCUACCCUUUUCUAGGGAUUAGUGCAGUAGUAGACUGCUCACUUCCCAUAUACCACAAAAAGAAAGACACAGGUGAAACAAAGAAACAACUUUUACACCAGACAAGAUUUCUUUAUGUUAAGGUUCAUUCAUUCACCAUUCACUUGUUUCAUUUGGAAAAGUUUUACUAGCUGUAUGUUAGUGCUAAUGAUUGUUUUAAGUGGUUGGACUAUAGCACUGAUCAUGGAGUUUAUAUUCUAUAUGUUCUGCAUGGAGGUGGUGAAACAGUAAUUUUAACAUAACAACAUAGGACCACACUAGGUGUUAUGUAAAAGAAAAGGGAGGAGGAGAAGAAGGAGGAGGAGGAGAAGGAAAGAGGAGAAGGAGGAACAGAAGGAGAAGAGGAGGAGGAGAAGGAGGAGGAGCAGCAGCAGAAUAUGGGAGACAAACAACAGUCCAGAACUUUAGAGGACAGAAGGGAAGAACAGCUGCAACCUUCACCAGGGAUAUCACAGCUGACUGGUCUCAUUUGAGUGGGUAGGAAGAACCUUGGUAGACACUAAGAAAAGGCCCUACUCAGGGCAGAAGUAACUGUGACUAAGCAAGAAGGUAUGUAAGCCAGAAAGGCAUAAGCAAGGUACAAGCCUCAGAGGCAAGGCUAAGGCAUGGAAAACUUUGGAGCCUGCUGUAUGAAUGUUUUGGCUUUUCCAGGGAGGGUUAUGGGGUGCAAUGCACUUCUACUGUCUAUGUGUCCCUCGUCUUCUCAAUCUCAUUCAUAAAUUACUGGAAACACAGUGUUGUGUUGUGAUCACUGAAAAGUUAAGUCUUCCCUCUUCCUUUUUUUUUUUUAAGAUUUUAUAUUUAUACUUUGUGCUUGAGUGUGUGUGUGUGUGUGUGUGUGUGUGUGUGUGUGUGUGUGUGUGUGUGUGUGUUCUCUCGCCCACUAAAGCCAGGAAAAGGUGAGUAAUCCCCUGGAGCUGUGAGCAGCCUGACACGGGUGCAGGGAACUGAAUACGGGUAUUCUACAAGAGCAGUGACCACUCCUAACCCUGAACCAUCUCUCCAGCUUUACUUUCGAUUGUGAAUCCCUUUAGCUGAAGUUUUUAUUGGGUUGUUCUCCUUUUUCAACAUAAUGUGUGUUAGUCACUGGAGUAGAACUAAGUGUAUUUUAAAGACUUUACAAAACUUACCUUCUGACAUUUAGGUGUUGACUUUGUUCACAUCUCCCACUUUUAACUUACUUACAUAUCCCUGGCUCUCCUGGAACUCACUAGGUAGACCAGACUGACCUCAAAUUCAGAGAUCCUUCUGCCUCUGCUUACCUAGUACUGAACUUAAAAGUAUGUGCCCGGCCUACCUCAUGAUAAAAAAACAUUCUUAGAGCCGGGUGGUGGCGAUGUGUGCCUUUAAUCCCAGCACUUGGGAGGCAAAGGCAGGUGGAUCUCUGUGAGUUCAAAGCCAGCCUGAGUUACAGAGCUAGUUCCAGGAUAGGCUCCAAAGAUACACAGAGAAACCCUGUCUCAAAAAACAAACAAACAACAAAAAAAAACAUUUUUAGACAGGGUUCUUGACUCAGCCUCAGAAGUACUGGGAUCACAGGUAUGGGUCACCAUAACCCAUUUAAAUUUAAAAUCAAAGUGAUUUUUAAAUUGUUUAUUCUAAAGCCAUGGAAUGUUCUGCCUUCAUCAAACUGACCUUCCCAACAUGAGGUACUAGGCUUUCUGAAAUUUUCUUCUGAGGUUUUUAAGGCUUCUUUUAUCCCCUUUGAACACCAUUUUUCUGUAACCUUUGAAGCCAGAAUCCAUACAUUGUCUCCUCCAUGCAAUUUUUGAAAUAAUUAUUGCAUAUAAUAUCUGACCACACUAAAACACUACCUUUUCUAUAUUAAAAACGAAGGUGCAUAUGAAGCUGGUGUGAUCUAGAAGAGAUGGGACAUGUGUCACUAGGAAGGUUUUGAGAAUAGGAUGCAGAGUACCAGGAAUCAGAUAGGGUCACCUUAUCUAGGUACACAAGGGAAAGUAACCUGGCAGAUAAGCCAAGCAAGACAUCCUUGUACAGGGGAUUCUAUUUUCCAAAUUCAAAGAUCUUCUAGUAGAGGACUUGGGAGACGGUCCUGUUGGGGAAGUACUUGUUGUAAAAGCAUGAGGACCUGAGUUUUGACCCACAACCAAAGCUAGGUGUGGCAGAGAACAUCUAUCAACCCAACGAUGGAAAGGCAAAGACAGGAGGAUCUUUAGGGCUAGCCAAUCUAGCCUAAUCCAAUAUUAUGAGCUUUGGUGAAAAACUUUCAAAAACAAAGGCAAAGAACAAUAGAUGAAGAUACCAACAUGGACCUCUUGCCUUCCCAUGCUCAUACAUGGAACUACACACACACACACACACACACACACACACACACACACACACACACACUUUCUACUCUAAAGAAAGAGCAUGGGCCUGGAGAAAGGGCCUGCUCUGAAUGAAAUGUAAAAAAUAUUGCCAAGGAACAAAGUCAGCAAGAGCAGGGAACUAUAAGUUGAUCACAGGAGGAACUGAGGGGCGGGGGGUUGGGUGGAUUACUUUCUGUGGUAAUGAGUUUGAAAUAAAAGCACAGAGAAGCUGAGGCAGAGGAUUGCCAUGAGGUUAGCCUAAACGACAUAGUAAAUUGGAGGCUAGUCUGGGUUACACAGUAAGACUUUGCUUGUAAACUAAAGCAAACCAAACCAGAUUAAUAAGGUAUAUGAUUUUUACCAGUAGAGUUGACUGGUAAGUGUAUUUUAAGUUUUUAGGAAAAGACACAGCUAGUUCUGUCAACCUGACUGGACCUGGAAUCAAAUAAGAGAUAAGCUGACAGGGCCACCUGUAAGGGAUUUCCUUGAUCAAAUUAUUUUAAGUAGGAUGGGCCAUCCUAAAUAAGAUUAGAACCUUCAGGGCUGGAGAGAUGGCUCAGUGGUUAAACAGCACACUACCUGCUCUUUCAAAGGUCCUGAGUUCAAUUUCCAGCAAUCACAUGGUGGCUCACAACCAUCUGUAAUGAAAUCUGGUGUCCUCUUCUGGCCUGUAGACAUACAUGCAGGCAGAACACUGUACAUAAUAAAUGUUUAAAAAAAACAAAGAAGAUUUAACCUUCUAGUGAUAGACAAAGGGCCGGAAGAAAAGUGCCUGAUUGCCUUCCAUCAUGCUGUCCAGUUCAUCUGCCCUGUUCUCGGCUUGCUAUCCAGUUCAUCUCCCCUGUUCUCAGGUUGCUGUCCAGUUCAUCUCCCCUGUUCUCAGCUUGCUGGUCCAGUUCAUCUCCCCUGUUCUCAGGUUGCUGUCCAGUUCAUCUCUCCUGUUCUCAGGUUGCUGUCCAGUUCAUCUGCCCUGUUCUCAGGUUACUGCCCAAAAUUCAUCUCCCUUGCGUGAUGUCACCAUUCUGUUGACAUCAGAAUCCAGCUUCAUUCUUCCACUGUAGAAUGAAGACCAGUGGCUCUCAAGGAAUCCUUCAGGCAUUCAGAACCAGAAUGGAAUUGUUUAAGACUGUUGAGACAUGCAGCCUUGUGGACUGUGUGACUACUCAGUGUGGACACCCAUAUUGCAUCAUGUAAGCCAAUCUGGUAAACCCCCUUUUAAUAUAUAUUCAUUCUAUCAGUUCUGUUCCUAUGGAGAACACUAGCUAAUACAGACUUUCCAACUUCAUUUCUUUUUUCUAAGUGUUUUCAUUGUUUAAGUCAAAAACUUUAUGGUAUCAUUUUCUUAGUAUUUGCAAGUCCUCAAAGUUAAAAAAACUUUUUUGGUUUUCCCUUUCUUAUUAAUACUUCCAGACUAUUUUAAUCAAAUGAUUUUAAUUUUGUGAACUAAUUUUCUUUUGCUAAAUUAUAAUGGAAUCAUCAAGUGUUAAUUAAUAAAAUAAAAAUUUAAAUGGAUUAUUGAGGGGUUGAUAAAGGCAGCUGGAAUGAAAAAAAACUGGGUAGUUUCCUGUUACCAUUUUGCCAUAGAAAUUUCAUUCCUCCUUUAUAACAUGUCAUUCACUCAUUCAACCAGUACUUACUCAGCACCUGUUAUGUACCAAGUACUGUUCUAUAUGCAGAGGACACCAGUGAAUAAUCAGGGUUCCUGUUUUUCUGGAAUUCAGGUUCUACUGCCCUUAGACAGACAAUAAUAAUAUGAGUACCAGCCAAUACUGAUUUAUCGAGUCUGCUUGCUGAGAUAGUUCUAAGCACUUUACAAAUACUUAUGUAACCACUAAAGUACCAGAAAGAAUUACCCCCAAUUUUGCACAAGGAAUGGAGGGCAUCAAAGGGAAAAUGGUUUAUGCAACUGUACACAUCGAGGGAGAGCAGAACUGGAGUUAAAGCCAAAAGAGUCACAGAUACUUGUUCUCAAUACUUUGGCUCAACCAAGAAGAAAAAGGUGCAAAAGGUAAUGAAAACAAACAGUAAACCUAGCUGGUGUUCAGUAUUAUGAAAGUAUAGAACUGGGGGCUAUAAAUCUAUGCAUAGGAGAAACACAGUAUCCAUGCCAGGGGAAAUCCCACUGAGGAAGCAGCAGUGACUAAGACCUGAAAAUAAUGUCCUCACAGCAGUGUUGGGGACAUAGGCAAAGAAUACAGUGGGAAACUUUAAAAACUAGAAGAUAGUAUGCUUGCAUUCUGGAGGCUGAGGAUGGUCAGUCAGGAUACAUAGAACUUGCAGUUCAAAGCCAGCCUGGGCUACAUAGCAAGACCUUGUCUCAAAACUCAAAAUAAACAGGGAACCCUGCCUUGCUCUGAGAAACAGAGACGUCCUGUUGAGUGCAUCUAGAGCAUGGUGUACCCAUGACUGACUGAAGCCAGGAAGGUGGGCAUGAGACAGACUAUAAAGAAUCCUCAGAAUCAAGUUAAGACAAGUGGCUGUUUUAUCCUAAGUACCCUAACUCCGUCAUUCUGUGCAAAACCUCAGGAAAGUCCAUUUGGAAGCAAUUUACAAAUACAAGAGGAAAAUGACAGCAGCCUGAAUGAAUGUGGUGACAGGGAAAUGAACUUCAGGGUAAUUCUCACAAUACUGGACAAGAUUGGCAAGUGAACGGGAUGUGAAGAGUGACAGAGGUGGACCUUGGGCUUGAGCCGCUAAUCUGAUGGUGUUCUUAGGUUGUGUGAGGUUGAGGGAGGUAUAUAGCUUCCAUGAGAAAAAGAAAUGUUUUACCUUCCACUUGGGGGGGAGAGGGGGGACGGGGAAGGAGGAAGAGGGGGGGAAGAAUCUGUUCUAAUUUUCCUUCUUCAUUUAAAAAGUUCCAAAGGAAGGCACCGAAAUGUUCGAUUUUAGGCGGUCCUUCCACUUGGGACAAACUGGAGAACGUACUGAGCAUCUAUCGUCUCCCAAGAUCUCAAGGAUAGGGCACCACCAAGACAACGAUGAGGAAGCCAUCUUAAUUGCAGCUCAUGCUCCUCCUGGCAGUUAAGCCCACUGUUCUCUAAACGCUGGCUGUCGUUAACGCUUACGGCCUCUCCCCUCACACUACGCGGCUUAAUGCAUAUUAUCUCUAUGUAUCUAUAUCUUAACAAGCAAUGCGACUACGACCCCUGCCUCCGAGGAUAGUGGUUUCGCAGGAAUGGUACCUUUGGAAAGCUCGUGGCUGCCCCCGUACUUAUGUGCGCCUUCUUCACAUCCACUUAAGUGACAACUCUAGUCCCUAGGCUGCGGGGUCUACUGAGGAGCGGGAGCCGUUGGGCCAGCGGGCGCGCUCUCCUCAGAUCUCACGCUUGCCCGACGCGGGGCCGACUCCCCGGCGCCUUCGGUCCUCGCAGCACCGCAGCGGAGGAGUCUGGGAGGGGGUCGGGGAAGGAAAAGACGCAAGACAGAUUAAGUAAUUGGCUCUCAAAAAAACACAGAUAUUUAGGUUCGACUCCCAAGCACCGGUUUCAAACACCCGCCCCCUGGGCCGCCCUGGCUCCGCCCCUCGACGACGUCACGC
ensembl:lncRNA